GAAGGUCAAUGAUAAACGACUUCCUUCUAGAUAGUAAAUAAGCAUUGAAAUGCCAGCACUUAAAUAUUAUAUCCGCGCUUUAAUUAGUAACUCAUUAACGAGCAAUUAGGUGCCAGCCAGUGCUUAAUCACCCGUAUGUUAUAACAGUACUUUGUGUUAUCACAAUGGAAUGUACUGUGAUCGCAUAUGCAGCAAUUCUACGAAAACUAUGGUCGCUAAUAACGUUGCCAGACUACUCGCGUUGAGUUUUUGCCUCAGAUGGCGAUUUACGUGAUAGUGUAACGCAAACUAUGCUUAAAUUAAGGAAAUUAAGGAAAAUGAAAUAAAACCUGCAGAAUUCAUCUCCUCGAAGGUCGGCCUGGAACAAAGAAAAAGAUCACACUUCUGUAGAACAAAUUAAAACGUCGCUUUCAUUAACCCAGAUAGCGUAAUGCAACUAUUAUAUAUUAUCUGGUAUUUAUUAGUUACAAAAAUUUAAGCAAUUAUUAAUGAAAGUUAAUUGUUUAUUGAGAAUCUUACGUCAGCGUCGUAUUUUGCGUGCUUAUUUGUGCAUGCGUGUAAAAGUAUAUACACACGCACACUUGUAAAGUAUACACGCACGUAUGUGAUUCUUAAAUGACUUAACCAUAAUGGAAAGUACCAUUUUAUGCGAUGAAUAAUCAUAAACAAUGUCAAUAACGAAAUUAUCAGUACCUUUACCGCAUUACGAUUUAAUUGAAAAGCGUGUUCUCUCUGUUGAAGGAGUUUAGGGAAUAAUUUAUGCAGAUUAUAAAAUAAGGUAAAAUCAAUUGUAAAUAUAUACAAUAUAAUUUAUAAUUACAACUAAUAUUUACACAAUAUAAAACUCUUUGGUAGUCUUUAGACUUUUUCUGUUAGAAAAAAACGUUUUCAAUGCAUGAUUUUACCUAGUGAAAUCCACAAUGUCCUGAUUAAUAAAUGUUCGAGCAUGCACCAGUCUAACAAAAUAUGUAGCUAGCCUUGUAUAAACGCAAAUGAAAAAUGAGUAUUUUUGGCUAACCUAUAAUUGUGUUCGAUACGUUAUGUACCUGUAUUCAAUUAAAUAUAUUAAAUUAUAAUGUACUAUUCACUCUUUAAAUAUCGUGUAAUAUCGUUGAUCCCAUUAGUGUAUUAUGAUAAAGUAGGAUAAGAAAAUAGAUUGAUACACAAACAAUAAUAUGAUAUUUGUUAAUAUUUUAAUGCUGAGACUUGACUACUAACUUGACUAUGUGUUAAAUUGAAAAUAUGUGAUAAUAAUACCAAUGCUAAUAAGUUACAUUGAAUAUGAAAUAAUUAUUGUAAGUUUAUGUAAAUUAUUAGAAGUUUUAUUUAUGAAUUACGUAUACUAAAGACAAUGUGGUUAACUAAUGAAAUGUUUAUAUUUUAAUAAAAGAUUAUAUUAUUUUGAACA